rnacentral:lncRNA from 1 species
CAGUAGGUACCAGUCAUGGGUUAGCUUGUGAUCCUUCGAGAUUAUGAGCACCAUGUAGUGUUCGCGGGAUAAACUCGGGGCAUUGCAAACUUGGUAUUAGAGCCUAAGGUUCAGUAGAGUCCGAGGAAGUCUAAAAUUAGUAUCUAGUAGAGUUUUGUACAUGGAUAUGUAGUGUGCCACACUUAUGGACAGGAGGCUACAAGAUGUUUUAGGAAAAGUUUCCCUUCUUUCAGUACUUAUAUCAUGGAAGUGGGCAUGAUUUCCAGUUAAACUCUCUAUCUAAUCCAAGUUUCUCUUCCAUUUAUAGAUAUGCAUCCAGAGAGGACUAAGGAAAGAAAAACGGGAGACCAGCCAGAACCCCAGCC